rnacentral:lncRNA from 1 species
GGUCCGAUUAGGACUAGCCUUGAACCCAACUGGACCUGACCCUAACCCCACCCAAUCCAACUUAGCCUAACUCGACCUGAUAUAUAAAUAAAUAUUUAUAUUUAUGCUUUAUAUAAGUUACUUAUAUGUCUAUAUAAUUGUGUUUUUAAUCUUAUUAAUCUAUAUGUAUGUAUAUUAUUGAAACUUAUGAAAAUAUUCAAAAUCUUCUCCUAUCUUAAAAUUCCUAUUUAACUCAAUUUAAAUCAAUCAUA